rnacentral:lncRNA from 1 species
CCACUAAUCAAUACAACCACUAACUAAUCUUCAUUCUGGAUAAUAAUAAUAAUUAAAUUCCAGUCAUAUCUCUUACUGUAGCAGUAACACUGUAGGCCAAACUGCCUCAUCGGCUUAUCUGUAAUCGUUUUUCUUUUUUGAAGGAGGAGCUUAUGGGAAACUGAUGUCUGUCUUUGUUUUUCAGUCUCUGUAGAGUAUAUAAAUGGAUACAUUUAUGUGUAGUGUCACUAUCUGGGAAAACAAAUCUUCACAUUAUGAUGAAGCUGAUUCUUUCCCUGACUCUCUUCUGCGGAAUCUGCAGCACAGCGGGAGCCCUUCAGUGUUUAACCUGCAAAGAUGUGACAUGUUUAACUACAAACCCAGUUAUGUGCACUAUAGAGAAGGCCUGCGUGACAGCUUCUAUUCUAGUGACAUCAUCUGGAAUUAAGGUACCACAAAUCAUCAGGGGUUGUGCACCAGACUUCGCGUGUCCAGUCUUAGGCUCUCAGACAUAUUCAGCAAACCUGGGUAUUUUGAGCGCAGCUGCAUCUGUUGAAUGCUGCAACAAAAACGACUGCAACUUAAAUAUUUUGCCUGUCCCUGCAGAUCAGAGCGAGAACAAUCUGAAGUGUUUUUCAUGUGACCCCGGCUCCACUCAGUGUAACUCUACAGUGAAGUGUAGUGGAGUAGAGAAUCGCUGCUUUCAAGCAUUUGUGCCAUCAGGUAUCAGCACUUCAGUUCCAGUCAAGGGCUGCAUGUCUGAAAACAUCUGUACAGCAGUGUCCAACCUGUCAAGUCUCCCUGUCUUGAAUCUUGGGAACGUCAGCUGUUGUGAUAACAAUUUGUGUAAUACUGCUCUAACAACAACAACAACAUUCAUCUAUCUUCUAUUUGGACUCAUCUAUAUUAUCUAUUAG